rnacentral:tRNA from 1 species
GCCUGGGUGGCUCAGUCGGUUGAGCGUCCGACUUCAGCUCAGGUCGUGAUCUCACGGUUCGUGAGUUCAAGCCCCGCGUCAGGCU